CGAGUCGGUCAGACGGUUGCGGCGCCGGCGACGGCGUCGAGGAAAGUCCGGACUCCACAGAGCACGGUGGUGGGUAACGCCCACCCGGGGUGACCCGCGGGACAGUGCCACAGAGAACAGACCGCCCGCGCGGCGACGUGCGGGUAAGGGUGAAACGGCGGUGUAAGAGACCACCAGCGCCCCAGGUGACUGGGGCGGCUCGGCAAACCCCACCGGGAGCAAGACCAAGAAGGGCACGCUCGCGUGCCUGCGGAGGCGUUCGAGGGCUGCUCGCCCGAGUCUCCGGGUAGGUCGCACCAGGCCGCUGGUGACAGCGGUCGCAGAUGGAUGACCGUCCCCGGCCCUCGUGGUCGGGACAGAAUCCGGCUUACCGACCGACUCGUCCC
rfam:Friedmanniella luteola strain DSM 21741 genome assembly, chromosome: I